rnacentral:lncRNA from 1 species
CUUUUACUAUAUCAUUAUAUCAUCUAUGAGAUCAUUCAACCGACAAUUCAGUUCUUGGGAUGUUCUUCUGAUUUUUAUAUAAAUUGUUGGCUAAACUGAACUCCUUACGGUUUUUAUGCAUUUGUUGGAAGAGUUUCAUUGAAUUUUUGAAAUGGGUUGAAUAACUUUGUACUUCCAUUACAAGAUUGAUGUUAUAAACUGAAUGUUCGCAUUGAUUCACAGCACUCUCUAGGUUUAAUUGGUUGUGUUUUCUUUCUUUAUCCUCUGUAGUUGUUAAGUGGAUACUGCUGCUUAUAGCUUAUUUGACGACUUGAUUAGAAGUCGUAAUCAAGCGCACAGAUGAAGCCCAAUAAUUAUGAAGUAGUAAUAUUGUAUUAUCCCAGUAUAUCUGCACAUAAUUGGGUUGAAACAGCUUAUGUUAAGUUGUUUCAAUCUACUGCAGAACUUGUACACUUCCAUUGUACAUUGUUUCAAUAUAUUUUGUUAUGCCUUUCAAGAUUCGAUCUGGUGAGGACGUGCUUUGGCAAAUUUAAAGCAACUUUUUUGAAGAGGAAAAUUAAGUUAGUUGCUUAAAUUUGAAUGUUGUCUCGGUUUAAUUGACGGGCUUUGUACACUUGAACGCAAUUCCAGGAAAACGGAAGAGCAGAAGCCGAGGGAACAUAAGCCAAAGGCAAAUGAAAACAAGCCGGUCAUGACAGAGUAAUAAGAGUAAGCUUUAAACAUGGAUAGAUUACCUUGAAGGCUAUUGAUAAUUUUUAUUAAGCAUUCUAUCCUUGAACUAGUUGUGCUAUUUGUGGUUUAAAUCCAGAUGUUACAUAAAUGGCCAUAGCUUUUGGUUUGGAAAUUUGAUCUUAGUGUUUAUUUGGAUGUUUUAUUUCGGAGAAGAGUGGGAGAAAGAUAGUGAAUUGGCGAAAAUGUGGAUAAUUACACGAGCUAAAAUGUGGCAAUCGAAUUAGAUUGAAAUUUGUGUGUGGAAUCUUUCAUCUGAUGAAUUCAAAGACCACACACAAAUUUAUAGAUGUCUAUUCUUUGCUUUUAAAAAUUAUAAAGCUCGUGUAAUUGUAUCCACAUUCUUCUUGUUUCCGAAAUUCAGGAGGAGAUUCACUGUCCAUGCUUCUGUCCUAUUUACCAUUUGGGAUAGGGCAAUGUCUGGACGAUAAAUUUUGCUAUCCUUGUGCAUAGCCAGUCUAGUCUCACUUCCGCUUCUCAAGAUCAAGAUUAAAUGAAUGCAGUUCUCGUUCUAUAAAACAGAUAUGCUUCUAAAUUAUAAUCUUUUGCUUUUGAGGAAGUGAUGAUCCACCAAGACAAAAAUAAUCUUCAACUCUUAUUAUUAAGGUAAAAAGCAGGUACAAUUUAAGAUUAUUUAGACCUUAAUCGUAUUAUACCACAAUUCUAAAUAUUAUAAAAUCUUUUAAUUAUAUGAAAAUUUUUAUUUAACCCCAAUUAUCUGUAAGUGCUAAUUGAGUAAAAUUUUAAAAUAUUUGAGAUAUUAUAUGAAUAUUUUGAUAAUUUAAUUGAUUUGUGAAUGUUGAAUUGGGUUGUUAAUUGAGGAAAUUUUAACAUAUUUGAGAUGUUAUAUGAAUAAUGUGAUAAUUUAAUUGAUUUGUAAAUGUGUAAUUGGUAUUACAAAAAAUAGUAUUAUAAAUUGUAAUCGUAUUAUGAAUAGUUGAUUUUACUUGAAAAUGUAAAUUGUAGUUGACUAAUAUCGAGAUUUCGUCAAAAAUCAAGUAUGAAGAAAGGCUGACAACUAACUUCUAAUUUAUUAUUGUCCAUGUAACCUUUAUGCAGGGGCAAUUAAAAGUCAAGACACAAUAAACAGUGCGGUGAACGGAUUCGAGUUUGCUUUUUCUUUGAGAAAUCAAUACCUUGGCGGUUGAGCAAUGCGAUAGAAUCUGAGUUUUGGAAAUGUUCGUCGGCGUCAAAUUCAUGAAAAUUAAACUCCCGUACAUAGUAACAUUGAGUCACAAAAUGGGGAGAUUACGGGUAAUUUGACCUCCAUUGUCGCAAGCGGAAAUAGGCUAAACUCUAGUUUGAUAGUAAUUUUUCACCUCAAAAAAUGAAUUUUUUGAUUGUUAUUUUACUAUUUUAAUCAUCAAUUUUUACUUUUUUGAGUCAUAGGUGGGAUUUACUUCUCUAUAAAGGUCAAAAAAUUAAUUUUCAUAAUCAUUAUCGAACAAGCCAUGAGAACUCAAUAUAUAGAGUUGAAUUCAUAUUUUUAAUUAUUUUGUCAUGCCUUUAAUUGGCAUCGUCGUGUUGAGGGUUCGAUUAUUGUUGUGCCUUUUUAAUUGGUAAGGUUAUAAACUCUCUUGGGACCCAG